rnacentral:rRNA from 1 species
AUUGAACGCUGGCGGCAGGCCUAACACAUGCAAGUCGAGCGGAUGAAGGGAGCUUGCUCCUGGAUUCAGCGGCGGACGGGUGAGUAAUGCCUAGGAAUCUGCCUGGUAGUAGGGGAUAACGUCCGGAAACGGGCGCUAAUACCGCAUACGUCCUGCGGGAGAAAGUGGGGGAUCUUCGGACCUCACGCUAUCAGGUGAGCCUAGGUCGGAUUAGCUAGUUGGUGGGGUAAAGGCCUACCUAGGCGAGGAUACGUAACUGGUCUGAGUGGAUGAUCAGUCACACUGGAACUGGGACACGGUCCAGACUCCUACGGGAGGCAGCAGUGGGGAAUAUUGGACAAUGGGCGAAAGCCUGAUCCAGCCAUGCCGCGUGUGUGAAGAAGGUCUUCGGAUUGUAAAGCACUUUAAGUUGGGAGGAAGGGCAGUAAGUUAAUACCUUGCUGUUUUGACGUUACCAACAGAAUAAGCACCGGCUAACUUCGUG